rnacentral:rRNA from 1 species
GACGAAGGUGACGACCGUUAAUCGGAAUUACUGGGCGUAAAGCGCGCGUAGGCGGCUUUGCAAGUCGGGUGUGAAAUCCCCAGGCUCAACCUGGGAACUGCAUUCGAGACUGCAUUGCUAGAGUAUGGGAGAGGGAAGUGGAAUUUCCGGUGUAGCGGUGAAAUGCGUAGAUGUCGGAAGGAACAUCAGUGGCGAAAGCGACUUCCUGGACCAAUACUGACGCUCAUGUGCGAAAGCGUGGGGAGCAAACAGG